UACGGGGGGAGCAAGCGUUGUUCGGAUUUACUGGGCGUAAAGGGCGCGUAGGCGGCGUGACAAGUCACUUGUGAAAUCUCCGGGCUUAACUCGGAGCGGUCAAGUGAUACUGUCGUGCUAAAGUGCGGAAGGGGCUACUGGAAUUCUCGGUGUAGCGGUGAAAUGCGUAGAUAUCGAGAGGAACACCUGCGGCGAAGGCGGGUAGCUGGGCCGACACUGACGCUGAUGCGCGAAAGCCAGGGGAGCGAACGGG
rnacentral:rRNA from 1 species